rnacentral:rRNA from 1 species
UAGGGAAUCUUCGGCAAUGGACGAAAGUCUGACCGAGCAACGCCGCGUGAGUGAAGAAGGUUUUCGGAUCGUAAAACUCUGUUGUUAGAGAAGAACAAGGACGUUAGUAACUGAACGUCCCCUGACGGUAUCUAACCAGAAAGCCACGGCUAACUACGUGCCAGCAGCCGCGGUAAUACGUAGGUGGCAAGCGUUGUCCGGAUUUAUUGGGCGUAAAGCGAGCGCAGGCGGUUUCUUAAGUCUGAUGUGAAAGCCCCCGGCUCAACCGGGGAGGGUCAUUGGAAACUGGGAGACGGGAGUGCAGAAGAGGAGAGUGGAAUUCCAUGUGUAGCGGUGAAAUGCGUAGAUAUAUGGAGGAACAACAGUGGCGAAGGCGGCUCUCUGGUCUGUAACUGACGCUGAGGCUCGAAAGCGUGGGGAGCAAACAGG